UCUUAAAUCUUCACCACUUGCCACUUGGAGAUCGAUCUAAAAUCUAAAUUGUAGGCCUACCCUGCAGUUAAUUGCAUGUGGUCAAUAACUCAGCGGUUCUCUCGUUGACAUAUAUUUGAGAAUGAAAGAUCGAACGGAAAAUUCGUGUCUGGGCAAGUGCUUCUACAUUCUGACUAAAAUGAACACAGAUUGAUCUCUGAAAGAAAGGAACAAAUCGAUAGCUGACUGAAAGGGACGGGUCACCUGGAAUGCUGCACCUAGCACAGUCGCUUAGGAAACGAAAGACGGUGACAACAGCCAUCUAGUCAAACAACACACGGCCAUCAUCUUCCUGUGGUUUAUUUAAUCCUUUGGACACAGCCAGCUCUGGGGGAUAUAGAUCAAGAUCUAUACAUACAGAGA